AUGAGUCACUCCCAGGCACAGGCGUGGCCAAGGCAGCCCCAGGCCUACUCCCGACUAGGAGAAAGUUCCCGCUGGUUUGGGGAAUUUGCAGAGGCCGGGAGGGAGGAAGUUCAAGUGCAAAGGAGCCCUUAGUGACACCUGAGCAGGCUGGCCUAGGGCCGUCCAUCCUCCCACUCUCUGGAGGAGUAACUCUGGCCCAGGCCCCGCUCCGAUGCACGCUCUCCUUCCCCAUGCGCACACCCCCCCCACCACAUGGCUGGUGGGUGAGGCCCCAAGCACCCACCCCACUGGCCACACUGGCCGACUGACCACGUCCAGUUGGUCCUCCUUCCAGUUCCUCAGAAGCCAGCUCCCCCUAGUAGCAGCCACGAGUGGGGCCAACCUGGCCACUCCGCGCUCCAGAGGCCAAUUUCCUCCCCGCGGCCUCCCAAGUCUCCCAGUUUGCCAUAAUGGCCUCAGGGGGCUGCCCUCCUGCUCCCUUCCCCACCCCACACAGAGCGCAGAGCCGCUGCCGUGGGUGUCUGGGCCCCCGGGCCAAACACAGGGAGCAUCCAGGGGAGGGACUGGGCAUCCGGCGUCCUGGUUCCCACCCCAGUGGAAGGGAGGACGGUGGUGGACCGGAGGUGAGGGCCUCGGAGACACACACCAGAAUCCAGGCCCCCCUCCCUGAAAUCAGCCUCGGCUCGUUACCCAACCCUGUGGGACCUGCCCCUCCCCACCUGUGAAAUGAACAUGAUCACCUCUAGUCACAAGAACUAAGACAAGAGAUGACGGACAUCACGUCCGGAAGGAGGAAGACUGGCCACUCUCUUUCCUCCAAGGAGGUGGUUUCCUAGGACAGGGAAUUAGGGAGGGCCGAGCCCCGCCAGCCACCCCCUGCCCACCCUGCUGGACCCUUGUCGCCGGGCCCUGAAGGACAGCUCCAACAACCAUCACCAAACGACGCCAGGAGGGACUCCUGUCAUGCCGGGUGUCAAGGCUGACACGGAACCUUGGAGAUGCCAUCUCCACUCUACACCUGUCCUGUGGACAGGGCUCUUCCUUCCCAGCGCUCCCCUUGGAACCUCCUUCCCUGCCUCUCACCUAGCCUUGUCCCCCAGGGCCCACCACCCCUUCCUGGGCACCACGUGGGCAACCGGCCAGCUGCCCGAGGCCACUCCCUGCGCUACCUCCUCCCCUCCCUACACCCCUGCGGACCACUGGCCCUGGAGGUGGCCUGGGUGCUUUCCGCACGUUCCCCGCUCCUCGCCCUCCGGAUGGGGGUCUCCAAGAGCACAGGAGGGGGAAUCCCUGCACCUGACAAGACCCCCCGCCCGGGGGGCGCUUUUCCAACGCAGAGGCCCUUCCCCCACUCUGGGGCCUGCUCAGAGUUCUUGACCGCUUGGCACACACAGCAUCUAGAGGAACAGCCUGACGCCUGCACAGCCGCCCACCGAAUCCCCCAGCAGAAACAGAAGGCAAGGCACCAUAAGCACACCACAUUUUAAAGUUUCCAGUGGCCACGUUUAUAAGAAGAAACAGGUGCUCCGGCCCGGGCGAACUCCUGACUCGAAGGCAGCCAGCCACAGGCUGACCAGCGACCCGACCUCAACGCCUGGCUCAAACAGGUGAUGAGCUGGGCCGCUGGAGAUCCCCGCCCCCCGCCCGCCCACCACCCACAGCAGCCCAGACCAAGGAGCCUUUCUGGUCGAGGGUCCAGAAGCUUGAGGUCAUGUAGACUUCUGGGCUGGGAAGUUGUCUGGGGCCAUUUGCAAAGGGAGAGAUGCCAGAGUAGGGGGGAAGCGCAGGCGGAGAUCCCAAGAAAGGAGCAAGGGAGAAUAGGCCGUGGGCCAGCUGAGCUCUUGCAAACCCUGCCCUUUCUGAGCCCGGCCAUUCCACACUCCGACUUCGUUGUGCCUUACGUCCUUCCAAUAACCAGCUCGUCCUGCCUCUGUUUACUGACUUCAAAGUCACACAGAGCCACACUGAUUAGAAAAGAGUCUAUAAAGACAGAAAGCAGAUUGGGGGUUGCCAAGACCAGGGUGGGAGGGGGGUGGGAACUGACCGCUUAACAGACAUGGGGUUUCCUUUUGAGGGGAUGGGAAUGUUGCCCAACCCUGUGAAUGUGCUAAGUGCUACUGACAGUAAAUUUCAUGUUCUGGGUAUCUGAUACCAUAAAAUAUAUAUUUAUAGGAAAA